UAAAUUGAAACCAAAUGCAUAGGUGCUUAGCUGUUAACUAAGAUUUAGUGGGAUAAAUACCCUCCAAUUUAG
rnacentral:tRNA from 1 species